CGAUGACGGAGAGCUUGCUCUUCUGAUUAGUGGCGAACGGGUGAGUAACACGUGAGCAAUCUGCCCUUGACUCUGGGAUAAGCGUUGGAAACGACGUCUAAUACCGGAUACGACCCUUGGAGGCAUCUCUGGGGGUGGAAAGAAUUUUGGUCAGGGAUGAGCUCGCGGCCUAUCAGCUAGUUGGUGAGGUAAUGGCUCACCAAGGCGACGACGGGUAGCCGGCCUGAGAGGGUGACCGGCCACACUGGGACUGAGACACGGCCCAGACUCCUACGGGAGGCAGCAGUGGGGAAUAUUGCACAAUGGGCGAAAGCCUGAUGCAGCAACGCCGCGUGAGGGACGACGGCCUUCGGGUUGUAAACCUCUUUUAGUAGGGAAGAAGCGAAAGUGACGGUACCUGCAGAAAAAGCACCGGCUAACUACGUGCCAGCAGCCGCGGUAAUACGUAGGGUGCAAGCGUUGUCCGGAAUUAUUGGGCGUAAAGAGCUCGUAGGCGGUUUGUCGCGUCUGCUGUGAAAACCCGAGGCUCAACCUCGGGCCUGCAGUGGGUACGGGCAGACUAGAGUGCGGUAGGGGAGAUUGGAAUUCCUGGUGUAGCGGUGGAAUGCGCAGAUAUCAGGAGGAACACCAAUGGCGAAGGCAGAUCUCUGGGCCGUAACUGACGCUGAG
rnacentral:rRNA from 1 species